GUUAAGUUUAUUAUAAAAUCAUGAACCGCGUCAGCCGGUGUUCCUAAGAACAUCGCACCCGCUGGGGACCGGAAUGGAGAGAGACCGGGUAGCUGCCCACUGCAACCAAGGUAAGUUUGAAACCUUUCUGACGGCAUGGCCGAAUGGUAAGUAUAGAGAAUGCUAAUUCAGGUCACGUAGAGCGUUCUGUUCACAUGGCUAAAUGUUGGGAGCAGUGAGGGUGCGAGGAGCAGGUAAG